GAGGACGCUGGCGGCAUGCCUAACACAUGCAAGUCGAACGAGAAAGUUCCUUCGGGAGCAAUUAAAGUGGCGCACGGGUGAGUAACGCGUAGACAAUCUGCCCUUCAGUCUGGGACAACUUUUCGAAAGGAGAGCUAAUACCGGAUAACAAUGCAUGACACAAGUUGUAUAUUUGAAAGCUUUAUGUGCUGAAGGAGGGGUCUGCGUCCCAUUAGCUAGUUGGUAAGGUAAAGGCUUACCAAGGCAACGAUGGGUAGCGGGUUUGAGAGGACGAUCCGCCACACUGGAACUGAGACACGGUCCAGACUCCUACGGGAGGCAGCAGUGGGGAAUAUUGCACAAUGGAGGAAACUCUGAUGCAGCAAUGUCGCGUGAGUGAAGAAGGCCCUUGGGUCGUAAAGCUCUUUUAUGGGGGAAGAUGAUGACGGUACCCCAAGAAUAAGCACCGGCUAACUAUGUGCCAGCAGCCGCGGUAAUACAUAGGGUGCGAGCGUUGUUCGGAAUUACUGGGCGUAAAGGGCGCGCAGGCGGAAUAGUAAGUCGGAGGUGAAAGCCCGGGGCUCAACCCCGGAGGGUCUUUCGAAACUACUAAUCUAGAGAGGGUCAGGGGCCGGCAGAAUUCCUGGUGUAGAGGUGAAAUUCGUAGAUAUCAGGAGGAAUACCGGUGGCGAAGGCGGCCGGCUGGGGCCACUCUGACGCUGAGGCGCGAAAGCGUGGGGAGCAAACAGGAUUAGAUACCCUGGUAGUCCACGCCGUAAACGAUGAGCACUGGACGUCCGGAGGGUUCGACCCUUCUGGGUGUCUCAGCUAACGCAUUAAGUGCUCCGCCUGGGGAGUACGGUCGCAAGAC
rnacentral:rRNA from 1 species